UACGUAGGGCGCAAGCGUUGUCCGGAAUUAUUGGGCGUAAAGAGCUCGUAGGCGGCUUGUCACGUCGGGUGUGAAAGCCCGGGGCUUAACCCCGGGUCUGCAUUCGAUACGGGCUAGCUAGAGUGUGGUAGGGGAGAUCGGAAUUCCUGGUGUAGCGGUGAAAUGCGCAGAUAUCAGGAGGAACACCGGUGGCGAAGGCGGAUCUCUGGGCCAUUACUGACGCUGAGGGGCGAAAGCGUGGGGAGCGAACAGG
rnacentral:rRNA from 1 species